UUUUAAUAUGGGGGUCUAUGAGGAUGGACUCGCUUUUGGAGCCAGCCUCAUGUGGACAUUUGAGGAACUACAGUUUUUGGCCUCAUUUUUCAGCCCUGGAGGUUGCAUCUUGGAUAAUACAUGCUUGAAUCCAUCUGUAUCUGUACAUACUGUUUCAUUAAGCAGUCACCACCAAUGCACUUUAACAAUGAUGUACUGGAUCCAGUGGUCUCCUCCCUCGUGUCCCGGAGCCCAGGGUCAGGCCUUUCAUGCUUGCAGAUCACAUGGUUUCCAGUCCAGUAACUGCAGCCAGGCCUUUCUGGGGUUUUUGAUGUGGCAGAUUUAAUACAAAGCUCCCACAGUUCCCUUCAUACCUCCCCAGGCAGACAGCACACAUCACUACUCUAUGUUAAGAUGUCUCAUUUCCCAGCUAAUGUGUCUAAUUCCAAUCACUCUGUUACAUUAAAAUGGUUUCCACCUCAUGAACUAUUAUCCCUGAUGUCAAUUCCUCACUUUAAACACUAGUAGUGCUUUACUUGCUAAGUAAGGAAUGGAGACUGAGUGUGUAGAGGAGUGUAGGAAUGUAUUUUAAGGGCAUUUUGACACGAAUGUUAUCGGAAAAACACUUGAAUUGGUUUAUGUUACAAAUUCUACUCAGGUUUCAUCCCAGCGUGAAGAAAUAUCUGUGUGCUAUGUGGCAGAUUAGUUCUGUAAAAAUGGGGGAUAUAUUAUAGGAAAAAAAAGCUAGAUUCAAUAUUGAUUCUUUUUGAAAUGACAGAUGAUUGACUGCAACACACAGCAAAGGCUGAAAUAUGAAUAAGUGAUUUUCUCUGUGGACAUUUGUCUUUGGCGCAACUCCUCUAUGACAUUUAAGUCCUACUUUUCUUCAAAUAAAUCAAUAAUUACUUUAAA